rnacentral:rRNA from 1 species
GAGCACGUAGGUGGGUUUGUAAGUCAGGUGUGAAAGCCUUCUGUUCAAAGGAAGAACGGCAUCUGAAACUGCGAAUCUUGAGUGCAGGAGGGGAGAGUGGAACUUCUGGUGGAGCGGUGAAAUGCGUAGAUAUCAGAAGGAACGUCGGCGGCGAAAGCGACUCUCUGGCCUAUUACUGACACUGAGUGUGCGAAAGUUAGGGGAGCAAACGGGAUUAGAUACCCCGGUAGUCCUAACCGUAAACGAUGGGCACUAAGUAGAGGG